GGCUCCGUGGCGGGUGGUCCGCGUCUGCACCUCAUAAUGUUACAGUUGCAAGAAAUUUCGCAGAAGCUGCCUGUUCGAAUCAGGCCGGAGCCU